rnacentral:rRNA from 1 species
GACGAACGCUGGCGGCGUGCUUAACACAUGCAAGUCGAGCGGUAAGGCCCUUUCGGGGGUACACGAGCGGCGAACGGGUGAGUAACACGUGGGUGACCUGCCCUCAGCUCUGGGAUAAGCCUGGGAAACCGGGUCUAAUACCGGAUAUGACUCCAUGACGCAUGUUGUGGGGUGGAAAGCCUUGUGCGGCUGAGGAUGGGCCCGCGGCCUAUCAGCUUGUUGGUGGGGUGAUGGCCUACCAAGGCGACGACGGGUAGCCGGCCUGAGAGGGCGACCGGCCACACUGGGACUGAGACACGGCCCAGACUCCUACGGGAGGCAGCAGUGGGGAAUCUUGCGCAAUGGGCGAAAGCCUGACGC